rnacentral:rRNA from 1 species
GACGAACCGAGCGAACGUUGUUCGGAAUCACUGGGCUUAAAGGGCGCGUAGGCGGGUGCUCAAGUCUGUGGUGAAAUCCUCCAGCUUAACUGGAGAACUGCCAUGGAUACUGGGUGUCUCGAGGAAGAUAGGGGUAUGCGGAACGAUUGGUGGAGCGGUGAAAUGCGUAGAUAUCAAGAGGAACACCGGUGGCGAAAGCGAGUCUCUGGACAAAUCCUGACACUGAGGCACGAAAGCUAGGGGAGCAAACAGG